GGGGCCGAUUAGGAUUCGACGCCGGUAGCGAAACUCUAGGUGCAUGCCGAGUUGGUAACAGAACUCGUAAAUCCACUGUUGCAACUUUCUAUAGUUGCCAAUGACGAUAACUACGGCCAGGAGUUCAAAGCUGCUUUCGCAGCUUAAGAGCCUGAGUCUCUGGUAGCUUCGGCUCCAGCAAUCAUCAGGGGAUGCCUGUAAACCCGAAAUGAUUGUCAUACAGAACAGGAUCGUCGUGCAGCACGUUGGGGGCGAAGCGACUAAAACUUACCCAACUCAUCCAAAGCACCCUGCCCGUCGGGCGGCUGCGGAUUAAAUCAGUAGACACGGCUAAGCAUGUAGUACCGACAGCGGAGUACUGGCGGACGGGGGUUCAAAUCCCCCCGGCUCCACCA
rnacentral:tmRNA from 1 species